rnacentral:rRNA from 1 species
GACGAACGCUGGCGGCGUGCCUAAUACAUGCAAGUAGAACGCUGAAGGAGGAGCUUGCUCUUCUGGAUGAGUUGCGAACGGGUGAGUAACGCGUAGGUAACCUGCCUGGUAGCGGGGGAUAACUAUUGGAAACGAUAGCUAAUACCGCAUAAGAGUAGAUGUCGCAUGACAUUUGCUUAAAAGGUGCAAUUGCAUCACUACCAGAUGGACCUGCGUUGCAUUAGCUAGUUGGUGAGGUAACGGCUCACCAAGGCAACGAUACAUAGCCGACCUGAGAGGGUGAUCGGCCACACUGGGACUGAGACACGGCCCAGACUCCUACGGGAGGCAGCAGUAGGGAAUCUUCGGCAAUGGACGGAAGUCUGACCGAGCAACGCCGCGUGAGUGAAGAAGGUUUUCGGAUCGUAAAGCUCUGUUGUAAGAGAAGAACGAGUGUGAGAGUGGAAAGUUCACACUGGGACGUAUCUACCAGAAAGGACG